UCAUGAGGUGUACAGUCUACCAAACAACCGGGGAAGGUAAGUUCGCGAGAUGUCCCGGAUAAUCUGAACAUCUGUAGGGCGUAUCGAUAGCUUGCAUGACAACCUCGAAACAUCCGCGCACAGUCUAAGAGAUCUAGAUACGCUUGCAGGAAGCCGAGCAAAACGAAAGGAGCGAAUCCAACCUACUUGGUUCUUGGAUGUGCCUGCACUAUUGCUUUCUUCAGAACUUCUUGUCAAGGUGGAAUCUUCUCUUGUUUGGAGAUGCAGGACGAGGUCAAAGUGACGAUGAUUAUGGCGGUUUCCGGUCAUUUUGACUUGCGAUGUAGUCAUACAAGGUGAAGCCACAAUGGUCAAGAAGUGCCUCUUCCUCGUUGUCACAGGGUGCUAACUGGCAACUUUCCUUGCUGUCACACAGAUCAAUAUCUCUCCUAUGCUAUGGGCGUCUGCAUGCUGUAAUUACAACUGCGUAUCCUACUAGUUUGUUGCAAUAGCGGUUUGCGAAUACUGUACAUGUCUUAGAAAUAUUCAAGCACAGUAACUGACAUACGUAGCUAGUCUAGGCCGUAUGUACGUACCGGCGCCAUCCAUGUUUGUGUGACUGGUUAAAUUCCUCUAGCGCAGAACCUUUGGUAUCUCUGGAAGCAGUUGGUAC